rnacentral:tRNA from 1 species
UAAUGUAUGGCAGAUUAAUGCAACGAAUUUAAGUUUCGUAGAUAAAGUUUCCUUUUGUAUGAU